UACGUAGGGGGCUAGCGUUGUCCGGAAUCAUUGGGCGUAAAGCGCGUGUAGGCGGUCCGGUAAGUCCGCUGUGAAAGUCGAGGGCUCAACCCUCGAAUGCCGGUGGAUACUGUCGGGCUAGAGUACGGAAGAGGCGAGUGGAAUUCCUGGUGUAGCGGUGAAAUGCGCAGAUAUCGGGAGGAACACCAAUUGCGAAGGCAGCUCGCUGGGACGUUACUGACGCUGAGACGCGAAAGCGUGGGGAGCAAACAGG
rnacentral:rRNA from 1 species